AUACGACAUGACAGUUAUACAUUAAGUUGAUUUAAAGCUACAAUAUGUAACUUUUUGGGCACCCUAAAUGUGUGUUUAUACAUCUGUCAUUCUCAUUGAAAGCAAGUCUUAGAAGCGGUAGAUCUGUUCUAUGUAAGCUAUUUCUAUCGGUCCCUUAAGUUUAGUUUGUGUGUCCUUUACUUUCGGUUUUGUUGUGUACACCAGCUGAAAAUACAACAUUUUUGGUUAUAAAAAAUAUAUUUCACAGCGGUUUAGAUGCUACAAUUAUCCGCGACACAAUGACUGCCUGUUUUCUCACAACUGAAAUUAGGCAAAUUAUUUUAAUUUUAGCAACCAGGAAAUGGAAAGAUUUCUGCAUAUACCACCUUUGAGAAAUUAAAGGUUCUUUUUUUGAGCUCAUGGCAUAGCCAAUGAGGAGGAGAAGCUGGAGGAGGACAGGAAGAAGGUGAAGUGCCGCAAGAAAUCUGAAAUAGGGCAAUGAUUGACCCCCCAGUACCGUACCCAACUGAAGAGGAAAGCACAGGUGGUUCAGGGGAAGCUGGAGGCAGACUGCAGGAUCCUGGGAGUCCUGCUGGAGGGGGAGCAGGAGGACUAGCGACUGGAGAGUGCACGUCUGGAUGGAAUUGAAGCACGUCAAGGAGCAACUCCAGCUGGAUAAGGAAGCAGAGUUUGUCGUCCUGUACAGAACCCAUUCAGCCUGGACAUGAAGAAGUUGUGAGGCCAUAAAGACACGGCACAAUCAUAUGUUCUUAUACAUUUGUACAAAGAAUGAAGUAUACCAAUAUCAUGCUUAUAUGUUAGUUGCUGAAUGUGGUGGUUGUUAAGUUUGUUACAUACUCAGCAAAAUGGUGAGGGAUAGUUUUACAAUUCAAAGAAUCAUAAAAAAAAUCUAUAAACAAGACCUAAGAUUGUGAGUUUUUGUUAUGUAAUUAAAACAUAUCAUAUUUUC